AUCGUUUGAAUACGAAACGUUUUUUUCGCAUAGCAUAUCGUCUUUAUAACUCACCUGUGAUUGCCACGUGGUUGUGUUUUUUUAAAAACAUGAUUUUAUUUAAAUAGACAACAAACUCGACCCACCCUUGCUGUUUUCCAGAUGUUGUAGACGACUGACCAAGCGGAAGCAAUCUGAGCGUUGUUUACUAAUGAGUAAUACUAGCAAUAAAUGUCUUUCCCCAUUAGAUAUGGUUUCUGAGUCUGAUGUCAUAUCCUGCAGGGCACUGGAAAGACUUGGCAGUCUUCCCAGCAGCGCAGCCUCCUGGGGCUGAUUCAGCCAGUGUUCCCACCCAGGAAUCCUGGACGUCUGACAGGAAACAGGCCCAACUCUCCCAAGGCCGCUAUAAGUCAGCUUCUCCCCUCACCCCAAGUCUCCCCCUUACUCGAAAACCUCUCCCGGGACCUUUCUUUAUGCUUGUCUUAGAAAAACCAUCUUACAAAUAGACAUUCUUCCUUACCACACCCCAUUUUCACCCUGCCUGCCCUCUACCCAGCUUCCCAUCAUAGCCCUGUCUUGCUUUAGUCUUCAAUCAACUGAACAAUUUUAUUAGGUAAGAGAGCCAUGAUAAAUGGCUAGUAAACAGUAUUUGCAUAUACAAUUUCAGGCUUUCAUGUUGAAGCUAGUGUUUUUCUUACCAUGUCAGAGCAUGUUUGGAUUAAAUGCUGCAUUUUGAAUAGAUGUAAGCACAAUAGGAAGGCAUCUCAGGACCUGCAGAAAAGCUACUGCUGCCAUUACUUUUCAGCUGAGAAUAACACUCGAACAUGCAAAAUGGAUUCUUUCAGUAUUUCAUUUAUUUUAUAAAAAAAGGAAUGCAAUUAACAAAAAGUUUAUGUACCUACAUUAGUGUUUCAGAUUGUACCGAUUUAACACAGGCAGCGUGCUACUGGACACACAAGGCUAUUGCACACGAGACAUUUCAUACAACACAAAUCAUACAUACUGUACAAAGAUACAUACAUACAUACUUACAAACACACAUAUGUAUUCAUGUAUUUAUCAUUUUUCUUAAAUCAUACAGUCAGGCAACACAACGAAGUGUUAGGUAGACAGAUUAAAACACCUCUCCAUCUGAAAAAACCUGGGGUAAAGCAAACAUCACUGAAGCUGCCAAAGUGCUUUUCACCAUUUGUACUUGGCCGUCUAAAUGUAAAAGUCAAUAUAAAAUACACGGAGGGAGAGAAGAGUUUUAAAUAUGUGUCUACAGGAAGAAGGUUAGUCUAACCCUGAACAACAGGAACCGGACAAUGAAAAACAGGACUUCCUAUGGCUGAAGGAAGUUGCAUGUUGUAGGAUGUCAGAGAAUAAGGAUGAAGCUGACCUCCCAGGAGGGCAGAUCCCCCCUGUGCGUUUGAAACCGGAUCUUCUCCUAUUUUGUAGGGGAGGUGAGGGGUCUUUGGAAAGAUGAGACGUGCUUACAUCUUUAGU